CUGGAGGGAUGCCUGGUGACUGGUCCAAGCUGGCAGUCAAGCCUGGGAGGAACCCACUGUACACACAGCAGCAGCAGCAGCAGCAGCAGCAGCAGCAGCAGCAGCAGCAGCAGCAGCAGCAGCAGCAGCAG
rnacentral:miRNA from 14 species